rnacentral:rRNA from 1 species
AGAGUUUGAUCAUGGCUCAGGAUGAACGCUGGCGGUCUGCUUAACACAUGCAAGUCGAACGGAAGUAGCAAUACUUUAGUGGCGGACGGGUGAGUAACGCGUGAGAAUCUACCUUCAGGACGGAGACAACAGUUGGAAACGACUGCUAACCCCCGAUGUACCGCAAGGGCAAAUAUUUAUAGCCUGAAGAAGAGCUCGCGUCCGAUUAGCUAGUUGGGGGGGUAAAAGCCCACCAAGGCGACGAUCGGUAGCUGGUCUGAGAGGACGAUCAGCCACACUGGGACUGAGACACGGCCCAGACUCCUACGGGAGGCAGCAGUGGGGAAUUUUCCGCAAUGGGCGCAAGCCUGACGGAGCAAGACCGCGUGGGGGAGGAAGGCUCUUGGGUUGUAAACCCCUUUUCUCUGGGAAGAACAAAAUGACGGUACCAGAGGAAUCAGCAUC